AUGUGCAGACUUAAGUUGCAGAAAAGCACUACUGCAGGAUGCUCUCCAGAAACCCAAGAAACAGAAAACCAUGCUCUUCUCCACACUAUUUCCCUUAUCAGCACAUCGCGUGGUGUGUACGCAGUGUCUCGGUGCAGCCGGCAAACUGCUCCAGGCUGUAAGGAUUUCCUUCGGGAGGGAAGAUCAGUGGCACAGACUCUGACAUGCCUCCUAAAUCUACUGCAUGGGAGAAAAGCACAGGUAAAAGCCAAACAAAUGUUCUCCUCUGGGCACACACUUGUAGGCACAAGUCAUCCACACAUCUCCAACAGAGAGUUUACAGCUACAUUUUGGGAUUCACAGAUAUAAAUAUGAACACAAAUAGUUUGAUAAAAAGUGGUGGACCAACACACAAGUUGAUUCAAUUUUCGGAGCAAGGGCUGCCACACCUAAUUUGUCAGUCAUCAACACAAUGCUAAUUACAGCCAUCUCUUGGUGUUUCAUUGAAAGAUGUUUUUCUUCAAUCGCCAGCCUGCUGAAUUCAAAUGAUCAGAUGAUUCAGAUGAUUUCCAUCUCUCACUCAUUGAUCUCUCCAAUUAUACAGGUGGCAUAAAGAGCCACCCUGUAUCAGAGCUAAAAGGAGAAAAUUUGAAAACAGGAGUGACUCUAAACUUGAAACUCUGGACAAAAAAUAAAAAAAGGCAAAGUAAGAAAGAUUCA
rnacentral:lncRNA from 1 species